rfam:Streptococcus agalactiae NEM316 complete genome, segment 2
GGUAUUGUUUACCCCAUUUGUAAGGCCCCGGAACCUUUCAAAUACUCUCGUGGACCGGAACAUCCACACCUGUAAACAAAAA